AUUGAACGCUGGCGGCAUGCCUUACACAUGCAAGUCGAACGGUAACAGGUCUUCGGAUGCUGACGAGUGGCGAACGGGUGAGUAAUACAUCGGAACGUGCCCGAGAGUGGGGGAUAACGAGGCGAAAGCUUUGCUAAUACCGCAUACGAUCUCAGGAUGAAAGCAGGGGACCGCAAGGCCUUGCGCUCACGGAGCGGCCGAUGGCAGAUUAGGUAGUUGGUGGGAUAAAAGCUUACCAAGCCGACGAUCUGUAGCUGGUCUGAGAGGACGACAAGCCACACUGGGACUGAGACACGGCCCAGACUCCUGCGGGAGGCAGCAGUGGGGAAUUUUGGAGAAUGGGCGGAAGCCUGAUCCAGCCAGGCCGCGUGCAGGAUGAAGGCCUUCAGGUUGUAAACUGCUUUUGUACGGAACAAAAAGACUCUGGUUAAUACCUGGGGUCCAUGACGGUACCGUAAGAAGAAGCACCGGCUAACUACGUGCCAGCAGCCGCCGUAAUAC
rnacentral:rRNA from 1 species